ensembl:lncRNA
CCUGGCACUCUUGCGCAGGCGCAGUAACUUUGUUCUCGUAGCUAGUACUGCCCAUUUCCGAUAUGGGGGAGCGUUUGCUCGGGCUAAUUUAUCACCUUUCUUGUGGUCCCCCGCCCUCCGGUUCCUGUGAGAGAAGCCUCGCGAGAUUGCCUAAGGCAGUCCCCAGUGACGCCAUCUUUGUCCCUGGCGAUCUACGGCGCCCGACGGAAGUCCUAAAGCCGGCGGCAGCCCUAAAACCGGCAGCUAGCUUGCCAAACUCCCCUAGACCGGAUCCAGGAACUACGAGGCGGGCCUCGGUGGGAGGGACGCGCAGAGAGAAGAGGGAGGGAAGGGGGCGGCGGCGGCGGCUCUCACCGGAUCUGGGCUCCGCGCGGCGCGAACCCGAGGGGGGUCGGGCGGGGAAGCUGCGCCGGCCCGGACCCCCCCGCGGGAGAAGACGACUGGCGUGAGGGCGAGACGAGGCGGCGGCAGCGGACUGGGAGCAGCGUCUACCGGGUGUGUCUGCGAGUAGGGAGGCCUGGCACCUGCCCUAGCCUGGGCGUCGUGGGUAUCCCAGGUUCGUUCUGGUGACCCCACGUCCGGGUCGGUGUUUGUGUGCGCUUCUGCUGGUGUCCUGGGGACUCGGCUCGGCCCGGAGCCGGGGUGACCACCGGGAAGUGCGGGGCUGCUUGGCGGAGGUUUGCGCAGGGCCUGGCGCGCCCGCGCCCGCCCGGGACGCCCUGAGAGGCGGAGGGGAGAGGGAGUGGCUGGGGUGCGGAUUUGUUGCUUGCUUGGCCUUCGCCCCUCGAGUGGAGGGGAUGGUGCCUUUCCUCGCCUCUUCCUGGACAUUGCGUGGAGUGAACCUUUCUGGACCGGCUUCACGCCCCGGCAAGGUGUUUGGAAAUGAGAACUGUCAGCACUAAGGUUGAGUCGGUGGAGGAUCUUGAGACAGCGGGGAAGGUUUCCUAGGAGGAUUAAAAGUGUGAAUAUGUAUGAAGCACUUAAAACAGCCCCUGGCCCAUAGGUGAGUG